AAUGAACGCUGGCGGCGUGCCUAACACAUGCAAGUCGCGCGCGAAAAGGGGGCAACUCCUGAGUAGAGCGGCGAACGGGUGAGUAACACGUGGGCAACCUGCCUGGGUGUGGGGGAUAACCUGGGGAAACUCGGGCUAAUACCGCAUACGUUCCCGGAGCUUCUGCUUUGUGAGGAAAGCUGGCCUCUGCUUGCAAGCUAGCGCACCCAGAGGGGCCCGCGCCUGAUUAGCUAGUUGGUGGGGUAACGGCCCACCAAGGCGACGAUCAGUAGCCGGCCUGAGAGGGCGAUCGGCCACACUGGAACUGAGACACGGUCCAGACUCCUACGGGAGGCAGCAGUGAGGAAUCUUGCGCAAUGGGGGAAACCCUGACGCAGCAACGCCGCGUGGAGGAUGAAGGUCUUCGGAUUGUAAACUCCUGUCAGAUGGGACGAACGCUUGCGGGCUAAUCACCGCAAGCUUGACGGUACCAUCAGAGGAAGCCACGGCUAACUCUGUGCCAGCAGCCGCAGUAA
rnacentral:rRNA from 1 species